rnacentral:lncRNA from 1 species
AUUUUCUCCCCUCCCUCCCCUCAUGUGUGUUCACUUGCCCCUCCCACUAACACGCUCCUCUGCACUCUUCUCACGCUCUUCCUCUCUCUGGCACACGCAACCCAUAGGCGUACAGAGGAGAAACUGACACACACAGCAACUCUACAGACAUGUCGGACUCUGAGACCGCCGUUCCUACUGAGGCCCCCGUCCCUGCCACAUGUGCAAGCAUCAAGCACUGGGCUGAAUGAUACUGGUGGUGUUCAGCGCCUGGCAGAAACCAUCCACCUCUUUACCUCCCUCCCCAACCCACCUUGAAGCUUAAAUGGUGUCUUCUGAUUUAUACCCCUGCGCUGCUCCCACCGUGGCUGAGUACAUCCAAUUGGUAGACAAUUCUGGAGAGCCUAUGGGUUUUAUGCAAAUUGUCCACUUGAGAUGCAUACAUUUAAAUGGAAUAAUAAAGUCUAAAAGAAAUUGGUAUAACAUUUUGCCUCUUGCUUUGCUUCUCUUUUUGAAUGUGAUGUGAAAUGUCAUUCUUGGCUCUUUGAACAGUUUUGUAACCUUAAUAGACGGGUU